GAGAAAUAAGUUUAAUGAAGUCCAACAAGAACAUAAAGCCAGGAACCACAGGAAAUGUUUGUACUUGGCGGGGGGACGAGGAAUCGGAGGAAACAGAACUUUGACCAGCCUGAGAGACACAAGGAGACAACGAGACGAUUUUGGGGAAAUACGAAACAUGACGUCACCUACUGUACAAAGCUUCAGGAAACCAAAAG